rnacentral:lncRNA from 1 species
UCUUCAUCUCAAGGAGGAUCAGUUGGAGUAUCUCGAGGAGCGGAGGCUUAAGGAUUUGGUCAAGAAGCACUCUGAGUUUAUCAGCUACCCUAUCUCCUUGUGGGUUGAGAAGACUGUUGAGAAGGAGAUUUCUGAUGAUGAGGAUGAGGAGGAGAAGAAGGAUGAGGAAGGCAAGGUGGAGGAGGUAGAUGAGGAGAAAGAGAAGAAGAAGAAGAAGAUUAAGGAGGUUUCUCACGAGUGGGAGUUGGUGAACAAGCAGAAGCCUAUUUGGAUGAGGAAGCCUGAGGAGAUCACCAAGGAGGAGUACGCUGCUUUCUACAAG